UACCCCUGCUGGUUACAGAACAGGGAGGAAGGACAAACUGGGUGUUGUGACUGACACUUGGCAGGUGGCAGGCUUCAAGUAUUUCAGAGGGGGGCUCAGAGAAGCGAAGAAACAGACCUAUUUUGUUUGAUGAUUAAGCCAGAAAGAGAAGAGAUCAUGAGAAGUCACAGGGGAUUCCUGUUUCAG
rnacentral:lncRNA from 9 species